GAGGACUACUCGGGUUUCUAAUCCUGUUCGCUCCCCACGCUUUCGCGUCUCAGCGUCAGUACCGUUCCAGAGAGCCGCCUUCGCCACCGGUGUUCUUCCUAAUAUCUGCGCAUUUCACCGCUACACUAGGAAUUCCGCUCUCCCCUCCCGGACUCAAGCUCGACAGUAUCCAGUGCAGGCUUGGGGUUGAGCCCCAAGAUUUCACACCAGACUUAUCGAGCCGCCUACACGCGCUUUACGCCCAAUGAUUCCGGACAACGCUCGCCCCCUACGUAUUACCGCGGCGGCUGGCACC
rnacentral:misc_RNA from 1 species